GUAGGUGGCAAGCGUUGUCCGGAAUUAUUGGGCGUAAAGCGCGCGCAGGCGGUUCUUUAAGUCUGAUGUGAAAGCCCACGGCUCAACCGUGGAGGGUCAUUGGAAACUGGAGAACUUGAGUACAGAAGAGGAAAGCGGAAUUCCACGUGUAGCGGUGAAAUGCGUAGAGAUGUGGAGGAACACCAGUGGCGAAGGCGGCUUUCUGGUCUGUAACUGACGCUGAGGCGCGAAAGCGUGGGGAGCAAACAGGGAUUAGAUACCCUGGUAGUCCACGCCGUAAACGAUGAGUGCUAAGUGUUAGGGGGCUUCCGCCCCCCUUAGUGCUGCAGCUAACGCAUUAAGCACUCCGCCUGGGAGUACGGCCGCAAGGCUG
rnacentral:rRNA from 1 species